AACAUCGCGCACCUGCGGGAACCUGCGGAGGGAUCAUUAAUGAUUGGUGGCUGCUGCUGACUAGUGUUUCUAGUAUGUGCACGCCACACCUUCAAUCCCACUUACACCUGUGCACCUUCUGUAAUAGAUCUAUGUGGAUACGGAGAUAUGAAAGUUUGCGCUCUCGUACUCUGUUGAAGCAGUCUACUACGUUUUUUUACACACACACAAUAGUCAUUGAAUGUAUUUUUUAUUCUUAUG
rnacentral:misc_RNA from 1 species